GAAAGUCAAAUCUUAAUCUUGCCUUUGCAUUCUUUGCCUCUGUCUUCUCUCUCUCUUCACCUGUGGCCAGGUCUUCACCCUGCUAAAAAAUGAUGACAAAACAUUAAGCCUAUGAGUUAAUGGACACCCUGUGCAAAUAUAAACUAACCACUUAUCAUAAUAUCAAAGAAAUGACCAGUGAAAUGAAUCAAAUAAUUUAACCCACUUUAAUAUCAAUGUAAAUAGUGCAGCAUCAUGUUAGGUACAAUGUCUGUAGUUUACAGGUUAUCUAUUUUCAUCUAAAUAUUUGGCGAGAGAUAUAACUGCAUAUUGUUUAGCAAUUAUUUUUUUAGAAACUACCAAAAUCACUAAAUGUGAAAAUAAAAACUCUACACAUGUGGCCAGCCCUUUGACCUUUGUUUAGGACGCGGUCAUAUUGAGAAGUUUACUCGCCUCUCCACUUCCUAUACUCGUCUCCUCUCGUUCUUUAAAUGUUCACAAUGUAUUCAGCCGUAUACAUAGUGCACAUACUGUGCAAUUUAUUAAUCAUCUCAACAUUAUUAAAAUAUCACAGAAAUAAUUAAUGUCAGUUUUACAUUUGUGGGCUAUUAAUCUACAGUCGUUUAAUUGAUAAUAGAUAUCCUUUAUCAAAUGAAAAAAAAUCCCUUGCAUCCUUAUCUCUCUUGGACAAACCAGAGAUCAUGUUACCUAUAUUGAGCAAAACAAAUGUAUGUAAAUAACUAAGUUCUGUUUGACUCUCCAUUGCAUUAGGGCUUAUGUUCUGGGAAGUAAACAUCAGUAAGUAACUUAAUGUUAGCCAGUGAAUCUGUUACAGUAUCAGAGACAGGAGACUGUAGUGUAAGAGUA